rfam:Oryza rufipogon genomic scaffold, chr01
AAAAAGGCAAACCUUGGAUUUCCGUGUCCAACUUUGACUGUCCGUCUUAUAUAAAUUUUUUUUUUUAUUUUUAUAAUUCGUAUUUUUAUUGUUGUUAGAUGAUAAAACAUGAUUAAUACUUUGUGCAUGACUUGUCUUUUUAAUUUUUUUCAUAAUUUUUUUAAAUAAGACGGACGGUCAAAUAUUGGGCACGGAAAUCAGGGUUUGUCUUUUU